rnacentral:rRNA from 1 species
AUUGAACGCUGGCGGCAUGCCUUACACAUGCAAGUCGAACGGUAACAGGUCUUCGGAUGCUGACGAGUGGCGAACGGGUGAGUAAUACAUCGGAACGUGCCCGAUCGUGGGGGAUAACGAGGCGAAAGCUUUGCUAAUACCGCAUACGAUCUACGGAUGAAAGCGGGGGAUCUUCGGACCUCGCGCGGGCGGAGCGGCCGAUGGCAGAUUAGGUAGUUGGUGGGAUAAAAGCUUACCAAGCCGACGAUCUGUAGCUGGUCUGAGAGGAUGAUCAGCCACACUGGGACUGAGACACGGCCCAGACUCCUACGGGAGGCAGCAGUGGGGAAUUUUGGACAAUGGGCGAAAGCCUGAUCCAGCCAUGUCGCGUGCAGGAUGAAGGCCUUCGGGUUGUAAAAUGCUUUUGUACGGAACGAAAAGCCUCUUUCUAAUAAAGAGGGGUCAUGACGGUACCGUAAGAAUAAGCACCGGCUAACUACGUG